rnacentral:tRNA from 2 species
GUGGUUAUAAAUUAAAAGGUAAACCUUCUGUUUUAUGAACUGAAUAUGUCAGUUCAAGUCUGACUAGCCGCG